ACCAGCUUGCACAGGCGAUGCAGCAGGUAGAAGCGGCUGGUAGGGGAGUGCUGGUGUACCUCGGAGGGCAUAAAGGAAGAGGCAUAGGUUUGGGGCACAAACUACGUGCCUGUAACCUGCAGGACAAUGGGCGCGACACCAUGGAAGCAAAUGUGGAGCUCGGGUUGCCAGUUGACUCUAGAGAAUGUUGCGUGACCUCGGAGUCAGGACGAUGAAGCUGAUGAUGAACAAUCCGUCAAAGUAUGUGGGGCUUAAAGGUUACGGCUUGGCUAUUGCUGGGAGAGUCCCUCUAGUAACUCCAAUGACAGAGGAGAACAAGAGAUACUUGGAGACAAAACGCUCCAAGAUGGGGCACAUCUAUGGUGCAGAAGUCAAUGGCCGCUUCAGCAAUCUCAUAAGCAAAAACGGCAAGCCGAGUAGUACUGUUUCUUCUGAUCUGGCCGUGUUCGACUCAUAGGAGCUGCUGGAUAGUUCGACUGCUGAUGAUUUCUUUGGGGGGAUUCAAGCAAGUUAACUGACAGAUGGUAUUAUGACUUUAUUUUUUAAGCCCUAAGGUCAAGAACAUCGGGAUGCCUGCCGACCAUGAGUUCUGAAAAUUUUAGGGCGAUUCAGGUUUAUAAUUGUUAUAAUAUUCAUAAUUGUUCUCUUGAUGUCAUUCAUCCAUUUUGUAAGGCGAAAUGGGGAAAGACUAGCCUCUUAUUG